UGCCCCAUGGCUGAGUUGGUUACAGCGUCCGACUGUUAAGUAAUAAUCGGAAGGUCGAGAGUUCGAGCCUCUCUGGGGCAG